rnacentral:rRNA from 1 species
AGGACGAACGCUGGCGGCGUGCUUAACACAUGCAAGUCGAGCGGAAAGGCCCUUCGGGGUACUCGAGCGGCGAACGGGUGAGUAACACGUGAGCAACCUGCCCUUAGCUCCGGGAUAGCUCCGGGAAACCGGAAUUAAUACCGGAUAUGACCUAGGCCGACAUCGGCUGUGGUGGAAAGUUUUUCGGCUGGGGAUGGACUCGCGGCCUAUCAGCUUGUUGGUGGGGUAAUGGCCUACCAAGGCGACGACGGGUAGCCGGCCUGAGAGGGCGACCGGCCACACUGGGACUGAGACACGGCCCAGACUCCUACGGGAGGCAGCAGUGGGGAAUCUUGCGCAAUGGGCGAAAGCCUGACGCAGCGACGCCGCGUGGGGGAUGGAAGGCCUUCGGGUUGUAAACCCCUUUCAGCAGGGACGAAGCGAAAGUGACGGUACCUGCAGAAGAAGCGCCGGCUAACUACGCGCCAGCAGCCGC